UACAGAGGUCUCGAGCGUUAGGCGGAAUCAUUGGGUUUAAAGGGUCCGUAGGCGGUUUUAUAAGUCAGUGGUGAAAUCCGGUAGCUCAACUAUCGAACGGCCAUUGAUACUGUAGAACUUGAAUUAUUGUGAAGUAACUAGAAUAUGUAGUGUAGCGGUGAAAUGCUUAGAUAUUACAUGGAAUACCAAUUGCGAAGGCAGGUUACUAACAAUACAUUGACGCUGAUGGACGAAAGCGUGGGGAGCGAACAGG
rnacentral:rRNA from 1 species